rnacentral:lncRNA from 1 species
GCUAAGAGAAUUCUCAACUACGGAUAACCACGUUGAGAUCAGUCAACUUUUAUUUUUUUGUCAAAACAAUAGGUAACUUUUAUAGAUUUGUAAAGUUGUACAUUUACGAGCAAAGACUCGAAAGAGUUAUACAAUCAAUAUACUUGAACAUUGAAAAAUAAAAAAUGAGCUAAUUACAAAAAUGUGCUCCUCAUCUUGUAUUAUGUCUACGGCAUAUCAUAUCAGCUAAUUCUGGGCCUGUUUGGAAUCUUGGUUUUUUACCAAAUUUGUAUAAAACUAGUUUUUUAACAACUUUUACUACAGGAAUCCCAAAAAACUAAUCAAAGUUUUUAACUUACACACUUCAAAAAUACACAAAAAACUUUCCCUUCAACUUUUCUUCUUUUUCCUCCCCCACCUAACCCACCACGUCCUCCGUCGCCGGCCACCACCUCCACCACCGCUGCCGACGCCGGUCACUAUUCCGGCAGCCAGUUCCGGCCUCCAUCUUUUUUUUUUCUCUCUCUUCCUCACCUGCUCUGCUCCUCUCCUCUCCCCUUUGACCGAUCUGUUGGUGCUCUUUUUCUUUUUUUUUUUUCCUUUCUCCCUCCCCCCUCCCCUCUUCGCCUCUGCCUCCCCCCUUUGACCAAUCAGGUUGCUCGACCAGAUUGCAAGGGGGAGCGGGAAGGGAGGGGUGGCGGGAAAGGGAGAGGGGAAGAGAAAAAAAGCAAAAAAAAAAAAAAAGGAGGGUGGCGGGGGAAGGAAAGGGAGGGGAGAGGGAGAAGAGGGAUGGCGGGGGAAGAAAGAAAAAAAAGCAAAAAAAAAAAAAGAAUCACCUGCUAGUUGCUGCCAUGGAAGUCUCGGGAGAGGGAACAAGGGAGGGAGA